GAGGGUAUAGCUCAGUGGUAGAGUGCCUGCUUAGCAUGCAUGAGGUUCUGGGUUCAACCCCCAGUACCUCCG
rnacentral:tRNA from 1 species